CUACGGGAGGCAGCAGUCGAGAAUUUUUCACAAUGGGCGCAAGCCUGAUGGAGCGACGCCGCGUGGGGGAUGAAUGGCUUCGGCCCGUAAACCCCUGUCAUUCGCGAUCAAACCUUGCUAUUUAAAAGAUGGCGAGCUGAUAGUAGCGGAAGAGGAAGGGACGGCUAACUCUGUGCCAGCAGCCGCGGUAAUACAGAGGUCCCGAGCGUUGUUCGGAUUCACUGGGCGUAAAGGGUGCGUAGGUGGUGAGGUAAGUCGGAUGUGAAAUCUCGGAGCUUAACUCCGAAAUGGCAUUGGAAACUACCUUGCUCGAGGGUUGGAGGGGGGACUGGAAUACUUGGUGUAGCAGUGAAAUGCGUAGAUAUCAAGUGGAACACCAGUGGCGAAGGCGAGUCCCUGGACAACUCCUGACACUGAGGCACGAAAGCUAGGGGAGCAAACAGGAUUAGAUACCCCUGUAC
rnacentral:rRNA from 1 species